rnacentral:lncRNA from 1 species
UGAGACAUUUCAUUUAUUAAAAUUUUAUAGAGAAGCAUACAAGACUACAACAAAUCACUGAAGUCAAGGUCUAAAGUCUUUGAGAAGUCAGAUGGACUGGACGCAGUGGCUCACGUCUGUGAUCCCAGCACUUUGGGAGGCCGAGAUCACUUCAGCCUGGGCAAUAAGAGCAAAACUCCAUCUCAAAAAAAAAAAGCCAGGUGGUUGUCUAACUAUAGGCUUUGCAUAUUCUGGUCCAGGGGUUGCUGAGGAACAAGGCCAACGUGAGGAACAACAGCAACAGUAAGCCCUUAGCAACACACUGAGAAUGCGGCUCCCCU